AAACUCACAGCUGAUGAGGUCAAUUCACCAGGCUUCACCAGUUGCUCAAAUAAGUUGUUUGGAAGGAUUCCAUUUUGUCCUGAAUCAUUUUGCUCCUAAAAUGAUUCAUUAUUCCUAGGUUGGAAUGUAUUGCAGACACAUUUUGACAUCCAUCCACUUCAACAACAACUUAAGGCGUGAUGUAAAGAUGAAAAAUGAUGGCAGUUCCCAAAUAAAUUUGGUGUAUCCAAAGUUUAAAAUGGUGAAGGCACUGUAGGAGAUGUCAGAGUUAAGCCCAAAUUUGAGAAUGUGUAUGAAUUAUUUGAGAGUGUGAUGCUAUCAAUAAAAGACUAAGACGCAUUAUCAAAUUCGCAAAAUCUUUUGAAAGUCAUGUCCCCGCCACCAAUGAAUGUCAUGCUGCCAAAGCAACCCAGAUCUGAGGUGCUACUAAAACAGGUCCGUCGAAAAUUCAUUGUGGUCAAUGAUGUCCCCCCUUUUGAAUAAUAAUUCGAAAACAACGCAGCGCAUGAAAAAAUUGUAAUAUAAGUUUCAGAUUACUUUUGAAGAAGCAAUACGAAAGUGCUAGAAAAAAA